GUAGUUCCGCGCUGCAGCGAGCCGCCGCUGGCUCCGGCGUGCGGGGACAGGACUAAAAGCCAAGGACACGAAGAGAUCCUCCCUCGCCUUCCCCGAGCGGGGCGGCCCAGCGUCAGCUGCAGAACUGGCUCGGGCGCUUUGGCCAAGGCGCAGCGCACACAAACAGGCCAGAGGGCCUGAAGCAACGUGCUACCUUCAACCCAGCCGCCAAACCAGGCCUGCCCUUCAUCGCUCUCGAGCUUUCGGUCAUGGCUGGACAAGCACCAGAAGACAACAACCCCACCUUUCUGCAUAGUUUGUGUAUUUAACAGCCUUCUAGUCCUACCCAGAGGGGCUCGGCCAGACAGUCUCAUCCAGUUCCAUACCAAUGCACCGGGAAGGGCAGAUGGGAUUACUCCAGGUAAAGGACAGCAAACACUUCCUCAAACCUUGCAAAACUUGCAAAUAACACUUUGCACCAUCCCUGCCCCUCCACCAGAUGAGCACUGCUUGAAAUUCUGAAACUCCCUUGGGGAAGGGAAAAAAAGAAAAAAGACAGAGAUGAUGAUAAACGCUACAAAGAAAGAGAUGACAAGACUUUUGAUAAGUGCAGGAGAGCAGUAACACAAGUGUAGGCUCAUGAGCAAGGCAAGAGACUGGGUCAGAGCAGAUUCCAGCUCACAUGACAAGAGACUACCUUCCGUGUUGUGUCUACAUCCAUGCCUAGAACUCAUACACUUUCUGGUUUCCUUUUCUUCUCCAGAUC